rnacentral:lncRNA from 1 species
AGGGAAUGGGACAUUUCUGCAAGAAGAAAAACUCCUGUGCUGCAAGGACAGAGGCCCUGCUGCUAGGCCCUCCGAGAAGCAGUGAUCCGGGGAGACCUUUGGGAGAUCGAGCCGUUCUACAGGAUUAGCGUCAGGCCAGCUGUUGGCUGCCAUAGUUGUUCAGCGAUCCAUUGAUCUUUUGCACAGUUUGAAGUGGUGUUUGAAUAUGCAUUUUUCCUCUGCACACCUGAAUUACAAUGGACUGAUAUCUGUGAACCAUAUGGAAUAGCCACAUAGUUCUCCACAUGUGCCUGGACACCACGUUGGCUCCUUCUCGCUUGCCGCUGAAGAUGUGCUCUCUCAGGGUCCGGCUGCCACGCCUGCUGCUCGAUGUAAUGAACUCUCAGCCAUGAUGAAGCUAUUCAUGAAAACAACUCUUCUGUAGGUCACCCUGGGUUGUGGCGUUUUGUCCCAGCGACAGACAGAAAGUAACUAAUAAGCCAUGGAAAAGACCUCAGGGAAUGGCUGUGGCAGAUUAUCUAGAUUAGGCUAAUUGGGGAAGGGAGAUUCACCUUAAUGUGGAUGACACUACCCCCAGGGUGGUAUGUCUGAUUGAAUAAACUGAAAAGUGAACUG